GGAGGGGCAAGAAAGGAAGAACCCCUGUGCUCAGUUUCGACAGAUGCCUUAACCACUGUCAUGGAAACUGCAAACAUCAUCGUGCUCAGAAAGGUUGAAGAACUUAGACAAACAGAAAUGGUCAGCGGUGGAAUCAGAACCUGAAAUUAUUGGACCAGAAGCUACUAACCCCCUGGCAGGUGCCAUGUACUGUGCUAAGUACCUGGGGACAUUCAGACAUACUUGCAGAAGAACGGUGGCCGAGACCAUUACCGGAAGCUACGAUAAUAGCACGACCCUGAUAGAUAGAACUACAAAGAAUCAGCGAGCACCUGUCCUGCGGGUCCUGCGGGUUACCAGGGGCUCAGCACGAUCUCUACUAUCUGCUCUGCACUUAUUUUCCCGGUUAAUCUUCGUGAGGACCCU